CCCCUCAAGAGGAUAGGAUCCUUCGACAUCUCCUCCAGGAGAAAGAGGGGAAAAUAAAAAGACUUCAGAAAGAGCUUGCCGAGGAAAAGGCUCACAGACGGAGGCCUUGUUUGGCCCUUGCAAUGAAAAUUGCUGCCUCAGAACCGCAAUGGGGGAGGCCUGGUGCUUCAAGCGAGGAGCAUCUGUUGGCUGAACCACCAUCUUUUGAAGGCUUUGAACUGCUCGAGGACUCGCCAAGUCGUCUAGUAGAGGAGGUCCCCAAAAGUCCAGUGCCAUCAACCUCGC